AUUGAACGCUAGCGGGAUGCUUUACACAUUCAAGUCGAGCUAGCGGCGGACUGGUGUGUAAUGUAUGGGGACUGCCCGAUAGAGGGGGCUAACUCCUGGAAACGGUAGCUAAUACCGCAUACUAUCGGAUAACCCAUAUGGGAUUAGCUAUUGGGUGGGGUAAUGGCUCACCUUGGCGACGAUCCCUAGCUGGUCUGAGAGGAUGACCAGCCACACUGGGACGGAGACACGGCCCAGACUCCUACGGAGGCAGCAGUGGGGAAUAUUGCACAAUGGGCGCAAGCCUGAUGCAGCCAUGCCGCGUGUAUGAAGAAGGCCCUAGGGUUGUAAAGUACUUUCAGUCGGGAGGCGUUACCGACAGAAGAAGCACCGGCUAACUCCGUGCCAGCAGCCGCGGUAAUAC
rnacentral:rRNA from 1 species